rnacentral:rRNA from 1 species
CGCGAAGAACCUUACCUACUCUUGACAUCCAGAGAACUUUCCAGAGAUGGAUUGGUGCCUUCGGGAACUCUGAGACAGGUGCUGCAUGGCUGUCGUCAGCUCGUGUUGUGAAAUGUUGGGUUAAGUCCCGCAACGAGCGCAACCCUUAUCCUUUGUUGCCAGCGGUUAGGCCGGGAACUCAAAGGAGACUGCCAGUGAUAAACUGGAGGAAGGUGGGGAUGACGUCAAGUCAUCAUGGCCCUUACGAGUAGGGCUACACACGUGCUACAAUGGCGUUAUACAAAGAGAAGCGACCUCGCGAGAGCAAGCGGCCUCAUAUUCCGCCUUUAUCCGGAUUGGAGUCUGCAACUCGACUCCAUGUAGUCGGAAUCGCUAGUAAUCGUAGAUCAGAA